rnacentral:ncRNA from 2 species
UUUAGUGCCCCUGUCGAAGGUCCCGUGGUCCCACACGGGCGCAAAAGGGAAUGCGGUGCGGGAGGUCUCUCCCAAUGCCGCGGCUGCCCCCGCAACUGUAAGCGGUGAGCCCCUGCCACAUGCCACUGUCGCCGCAAGGCGCCGGGAAGGCGGUGGGGGCGCUGAUCCGCGAGCCAGGAGACCUGCCUUCGACAAGGUCCGCGC